rnacentral:rRNA from 1 species
AUGGAUAGCAAGCCUUCUCCAACACCUUAUGAUCCCAGCGUGACACUCAGAAAGAACAAGAAAGAAACGAGAGAUCAAUUAAGAUACUCUCAAAUUGUCGGUUCACUCAUGUACUUAGCUAGCGCUACAAGACCAGAUAUCUCUUUUGCUGUGAGCAAACUGAGUAGGUUCAUGUCCAACCCGGGUGAUGAUCAUUGGCAUGCACUAGAAAGGGUCUUGCGCUAUCUGAGAGGUACUAUGAGUUACGGAAUUACUUAUUCAGGGCAUCCUGCUGUGCUAGAAGGAUAUAGUGAUUCAAAUUGGAUCUCCAAUGUUGAUGUACUUUACGCAACAAGUGGGUAUAUAUUUACUCAUGGUGGUGGCGCAGUGUCAUGGAGGUCUUGCAAGCAAACCAUAUUGACGAGGUCAACUAUGGAAGCAGAAUUAACUGCUUUGGACACAGCUACUGUUGAGGCAGAAUGGCUGCGUGAGCUCUUGAUGGACUUGCCGGUUGUUGAAAAACCUGUACCGGCUAUUCUUAUGAAUUGUGAUAACCAAACGGUUAUCGCUAAAGUGAACAAUUCUAAAGAUAAUGCAAAGUCAUCAAGACACGUGAAAAGACGUUUGAAGUCUGUCAGGAAGUUGAGAAACUCCGGAGUAAUAACUGUUACGUAUAUACAAACAGAC